rnacentral:rRNA from 1 species
CAGGGCGGCCAUAGCGUCGGGGAUACUCCUGAACCCAUUCCGAACUCAGAAGAUAAGCCCGGCUGCGUUAUGCACUGUACUCAGAUGCGCGAGCUCUCGGGAACUGCAUUUCGCUGCCCAGG